GGGGAUACACUUAGAACCCCAGGAGCGGCGUGUUAAUAGUCGUGCUUUUGGCCAGGCGCGAUGGUUAGUGAAUC
ncrna:unclassified sequences L13-Bacteroidia ribosomal protein leader